UACGUAGGGGGCAAGCGUUAUCCGGAAUCACUGGGCGUAAAGCGUCCGCAGGUGGGAAAGUAAGUUAAAUGUAAAAUCCCGAUGCUCAACAUCGGAUGCGUAUUUAAAACUACUUUUCUAGAGGAUGGGAGAGGCGAGUGGAAUUCUCGGUGUAGGGGUAAAAUCCGUAGAUAUCGAGAGGAACACCAAAAGCGAAGGCAGCUCGCUGGAACAUUCCUGACACUCAUGGACGAAAGCGUGGGGAGCGAAAAGG
rnacentral:rRNA from 1 species